UACGUAGGGUGCGAGCGUUGUCCGGAAUUACUGGGCGUAAAGAGCUCGUAGGUGGUUUGUCGCGUUGUUCGUGAAAACUCACAGCUUAACUGUGGGCGUGCGGGCGAUACGGGCAGACUGGAGUACUGCAGGGGAGACUGGAAUUCCCAGUGUAGCGGUGAAAUGCGUAGAUAUUGGGAGGAACACCGGUGGCGAAGGCGGCUACCUGGACCGGUACUGACGCUGAGGCGCGAAAGCUAGGGUAGCAAACAGG
rnacentral:rRNA from 1 species